CCUUCCGUCCCGUACACAGCCGCUGCCACACAGAACAUGGAUGAUAACAGGCCAUUAAUCCUGCUGUGCGAUUGGUACAAGACAGAGAACACGUAAGACCAAAUAAGGUGGAAUGAUGCAAAUACCGAUGAAACAGUUAUGAAAAUUGAGCUCACCUUUACUACACAGACAGUACUGAGAGCCCAAAUGAAGCAGACUGAGACACGCCGAUUUCUGCAGAGACUGGCCUGCGGGAGCAGUAAGUGAUCUUAUUGUCCCUUACUCCCUUGUGAUCAGGUGGUUAGGGCUCCUUAUGGGACUCCUUGGUAAAACAUUCCAUUAACUGCAAUAAAUUGGUUCCUAGACGCAUCAUUAGCUAAACGUCUGCCACUCUGCCAUUUGCAUAUACUUUCCAUUGCACUAUAUCAGCCUACACAGUAACACUCAA